AUAAAUAAAAAAAUAAUAAAUUUUUUAAAAUAUAUAUAAAACAAUAAAACGAACAUGAACAUAAAUAAAUAUAAAAAUUUGCAAAUAUUUUUUAUAUAUUCCUGUUUUAUAUUUGCAAAUCUGAUUAAAAACAUUCAGGCGGAUGAAACAAAUAUUGUGCUUCUGUUCGAAAAUGAUAAUAACGACAUGGAAAAAAUCUUUCAAAUAGCCAUUGCCAAAGCAAAUGAAGAGAAUUCUGAGUUAAAUUUCAAUGGAAUUACUGUUGCUAUUGAACCGAAUAAUGCAUUUGAGACCUCUAGAAAAUUAUGUAAAACAUUAAGGGAAAAUCAAGUAAUUGCUGUAUUUGGUCCGACUACCAGCAUGGCUGCCAAGCACGCUAUGAGUGUUUGUGAUGCCAAAGAGUUGCCCUUCAUUGAUACACGUUGGGAUUUUGGUGCACAAUUACCAACCAUUAAUCUACACCCGCAUCCCACACAGUUAGCGGCGAUCUUAAAAGAUUUAGUUACAACUUUAGGUUGGGAUGGUUGCUUCACAAUAAUUUAUGAAUCAGGCGAAUAUCUUUCCAUGGUUACUGAACUGUUGCAAAUGUAUGGCACUUCGGGUCCCACCAUUGUGGUGCGUCGCUAUGAGCUAGAUUUGAAUGGCAAUUACCGUAAUGUUUUGCGUCGUAUUAAAAAUUCUGGUGAUACAUCGUUUGUGGUUGUUGGCUCAUUGGCCACUUUGCCAGAACUUUUUAAGCAGGCCCAACAAGUUGGCCUAAUGACGGGCUCUUAUCGUUAUAUUAUUGGUAAUUUGGAUUUACAAACUAUGGACUUGGAGCCGUAUCAACAUGGUGAUACUAACAUUACGGGUAUACGUCUGGUUUCGCCAAAGGAAGAUAAUGUUAUAGAAGUUGCUAAAAUCUUAUACGAAUCGGAGGAACCAUUUCAAAACAUAUCAUGUCCUUUGACCGUCAACAUGGCUCUUGUUUACGAUGGCGUACAACUUUUGGCUGAGACAUUUAAACAUGUCAUGUUUCAGGCAGUUCCUUUAAAUUGUAACGAUGCCAGCUCUUGGGAUAAAGGAUACACUCUAGUCAAUUAUAUGAAGUCGUUAAAUAUGGCUGGUCUUACGGGUGAUAUAAAGUUUGAUUAUCAAGGUUUAAGAACAGAAUUUUCACUUGAAAUUGUUGAAUUGGCAGUAUCGGGUUUGCAAACAAUUGGCACUUGGAAAAGCGAUGAAGGUAUAACGAUUGAUCGUCCAGCUCCAGCAGUAUCUAUGGAACAGGAUCAUCGUUCAUUGGUCAAUAAAAGUUUUGUGGUGAUAACAGCUAUUAGUGAACCCUAUGGCAUGCUGAAAGAUGUACCCAAUAAAUUAGAAGGCAACGAUCAAUAUGAGGGAUUUGGCAUAGAACUUAUUGAAGAAUUGGGUAAAAAAUUGGGUUUUUCAUACACAUUUCGUUUACAAGAGGAUGGUAAAUAUGGCAAUUUAGAUUCGAAAACCAACUCCUGGAAUGGUAUGAUUUUGGAAAUCAUGGAAGGGCGUGCUGAUUUGGGUAUAACCGAUUUGACCAUGACAUCUGAUCGAGAAAGUGCGGUAGAUUUUACCAUUCCUUUCAUGAAUCUCGGUAUUGCCAUUUUAUUUCGCAAACCCAUGAAGGAACCACCCAAACUCUUCUCCUUUAUGUCACCAUUUUCCGGAGAAGUAUGGCUAUGGUUGGGUCUAGCAUAUGUUGCCGUCUCCUUGAGUAUGUUUAUAUUGGGCCGCAUAUCACCACCCGAAUGGGAUAAUCCGUAUCCUUGCAUAGAAGAGCCUACCGAACUUGAGAACCAAUUUACAUUUAUUAAUUGCUUUUGGUAUGCUGUUGGUACACUUUUGCAACAAGGUUCGGAAUUAGCACCAAAAGGAUUUUCAACACGUGCUGCUGCCUCAUUUUGGUCGUUCUUUACAUUGAUUCUGGUGUCUUCGUAUACAGCCAACUUGGCUGCAUUUUUAACGGUCGAAUCAUUAAGCACACCUAUUGAGAAUGUUGAGGAUUUGGCUGCUAACAAAGGUGGUGUUAACUAUGGUGCUAAAAUUGGUGGCAGUACAUUUACAUUUUUCAAGGAUGCAAAAUUUCCAACUUAUCAAAAAAUGUACGAGUUUAUGUCAAGUCAUCCGGAGUAUAUGACAUCUUCAAAUGCUGACGGUGUUACACGCGUCGAAGAGGAAAACUAUGCCUUUUUAAUGGAAUCCACAACUAUUGAAUAUAUCACAGAACGACGAUGCAGUCUAACACAAGUUGGUUCAUUAUUGGAUGAAAAAGGAUAUGGUAUUGCUAUGCGUAAAAAUUGGCCUUAUCGUGACAUACUCAGUCAAGCUGUAUUGGAAUUGCAGGAACAAGGUGUUUUAACAAAAAUGAAAACAAAAUGGUGGCAGGAAAAACGAGGUGGUGGCGCUUGUGCGAAAUUUGUUAAACGUGCUUUAUACUAUAAAUAAACAAUUUUAAUUUUAAUAUUUCUUCAAAAUCACACACAUUUCAACUCUACACAAGUUUUGAAGGUUGUUGUUUUAAAUAAAGGCGAGAAAUACAUUUUUGGAAUUUGAAAUUUUAUACCUUGAAUAAAAGGAGCCAAACAAAAUCCAGCACAAUAUUGGUGAAGAUGUUGAUGUUGUUGCUUGGUUACUUUGGUUGAUACUGUUGACACUUUACAACUUUUGUGGGUUCAUUGAUGGAACAAAUACACAGGUUAAGCAAUCUAAAAUUAUAAAUGUUAUAGGAAAUCUGGAUUAAGGAGACUAUUUCUUUCAUUCUACAUACAUCUACAUCUUAAUCUACAUUCAUUCAUUCAUCCAUCAUCAAUCUGCAAUCAUCUACAUCAUUUUCUUGCUGGGCUGUAUCAUUCAUUAAACUUCACUUUAUUUAUAUUCUAAUUAUAUGCACACAUACAUAUUGUACAUAUUUUUAUUUAUUUUACUAAUACCAAUACAUUGUAAAAAUAGUAUUAGAUUACUAACUAAAUUGUGACAUAUUCCUGUUUAAUUCAAAAAGCUUGUAUUUUUAAUUAAAUUAAAAUAAUAUUUAUUUAAUUUGUUAAAAAAAAUAUUUAUAAUUAUUUACAAAUUCUCAUAUUUUUUUAUUUGUUUAUCUGUAUAUUAACCUAAAAUACACUCUUUUUUUCAACAAUCAAUAAAGAAAUUCUUUUUAAUUAAUUACACUAAGUAGACUGUUUCAUUAACAAAAAAAUGCAUUUUUUUAUUCUCACUUAUUUGUGUUGUUUCUGUAUACGCAGCACAACAUACGCACAAAUAAACAAACUAACAUGCGUACAAACAUACAUACAUGUAGUCAUAUCAAUGUCUCAUAUCAAUCAACUACAUACACACACCUACCCUUUCUUUAUCUACUACGUCAUCAAAAAUUUUGUUUGCAAUUUUGUCCAACUUCGAUUUUGUUGAAAAUUGAAAUCUUAAUACCAGGCGCAUAGAAUUUGCAGCAAGCUGCGUAUGCAAUUUUUUUAUAAAUCAUAAAUACUUGACUCACCCUGUGUAAUUAUCAGUUUUGCCGCAUUUGAAUGCAUACUUUGGGGAUGUAAUAAAAUCAAUAUUUAUUUUAAGCCUAAAAGUAUGUGCUACUUUACCUGCAUAUUAAAUAUGACGGUUUAUUUACAUGUGUUUUCAUUGUUUUCAUUUCAUAUAAUAAUACUUUCUAAGAAUUCUGAACACCUGAUAAUAAGAUUUCAGUUUUUCGUUCAAAUCGAGGUUGGUCAAAUUUGCAAACAAAAUUUUUGAUGACGUCACACCUCAUAGUGGAUGCAUGUGUAUGUUUUGCAUAAAAUGCUAGUUAUAACAAAUUAUAAUUUGUGAGUGCUUUUUUUAUGAUAUUGUGCGUAUGUACUUAUGUAUGUUUGCUAUCUAAACAAGUUAAACGUAAAACAGUUUGUUGGUUUAAUGAAAAGGUUUUUUAAUUUAUUUUUUAUUUGCACUAGGGAUUCUUAUAAAAAUACAAAAAAUUAUUAAUUAAUACUUCUAAUUAAUUAUUUAUAAUUUAAAAGAAAUAAAAUAAAUACAAACUAAACAUUAUAAUUUAACAACACAAAUACAUAUUUAAAAAUGAUUAUUAUUUCAGAUGUUUUGUUUAUCCUUAUGAGCUUAUUGAUUUAUAAAAUUAUAUUCAUACAAAUGUUAUAAGUUUAAUUAAAUCAAUAUAAAUAAAUAAUUAUUUAUUUAUGCAUUUAGAAUAAUUUUGGUAC